UGACGGUACCUAACAGAAAGCACGGCUAACUACGUGCAGCAGCCGCGGUAAUACGUAGGUGGCAGCGUGUCCGGAAUUAUUGGGCGUAAAGCGCGCGCAGGCGGUUCUUUAAGUCUGAUGUGAAAGCCCCCGGCUCAACCGGGGAGGGUCAUUGGAAAUUGGGGAACUUGAGUGCAGAAGAGGAGAGCGGAAUUCCACGUGUAGCGGUGAAUGCGUAGAGAUGUGGAGGAACACCAGUGGCGAAGGCGGCUCUCUGGUCUGUAACUGACGCUGAGGCGCGAAAAGCGUGGGGAGCGAACAGGAUUAGAUACCCUGGUAGUCCACGCCGUAAACGAUGAGUGCUAAGUGUUAGAGGGUUUCCGCCCUUUAGUGCUGCAGCAAACGCAUUAAGCACUCCGCCUGGGGAGUACGGCCGCAAGGCUGAAACUCAAAGGAAUUGACGGGGGCCCGCACAAGCGGUGGAGCAUGUGGUUUAAUUCGAAGCAACGCGAAGAACCUUACCAGGUCUUGACAUCCUCUGACAACCCUAGAGAUAGGGCGUUCCCCUUCGGGGGACAGAGUGACAGGUGGUGCAUGGUUGUCGUCAGCUCGUGUCGUGAGAUGUUGGGUUAAGUCCCGCAACGAGCGCAACCCUUGAUCUUAGUUGCCAGCAUUCAGUUGGGCACUCUAAGGUGACUGCCGGUGACAAACCGGAGGAAGGUGGGGAUGACGUCAAAUCAUCAUGCCCCUUAUGACCUGGGCUACACACGUGCUACAAUGGAUGGAACAAAGGGCCGCAAAACCGCGAGGUCGAGCCAAUCCCAUAAAUCCAUUCUCAGUUCGGAUUGCAGGCUGCAACUCGCCUGCAUGAAGCCGGAAUCGCUAGUAAUCGCGGAUCAGCAUGCCGCGGUGAAUACGUUCCCGGGCCUUGUACACACCGCCCGUCACACCACGAGAGUUUGUAACACCCGAAGUCGGUGGGGUAACCUUUUGGAGCCAGCCGCCUAAGGUGGGACAGAUGAUUGGGGUGAAGUCGUACAGGGGAUACCCUA
rnacentral:rRNA from 2 species